rnacentral:rRNA from 1 species
AACGAACGCUGGCGGCGCGUUUUAAGCAUGCAAGUCGAGCGGCAAGGGCCUUCGGGCCCCUAGAGCGGCGGACGGGUGAGUAACACGUGGACAAUCUGCCCCCCGGUCCCGGGAUAGCCCAGGGAAACCUGGAUCAAUACCGGAUGCGAGCGCGGCCACAGAAGUGGCUGCGGGGAAAGGCGCUUCGGCGCCGCCGGGGGAUGAGUCCGCGGCCCAUUAGCUAGACGGCGGGGUAAAGGCCCACCGUGGCGACGAUGGGUAGCCGGCCUGAGAGGGUGAUCGGCCACAUUGGAACUGAGACACGGCCCAA